rnacentral:rRNA from 1 species
AAGUGAAGGUUAGCCAGCGUCAAAGGACGAACGAGUAGAGAGUCCUUUGCGCGUUAAAAAGUGUGCUAACACACAGCGAGUCUGAAUGUUGAGUGUUGAAUAUCUGAUUAGUGGCGGACGGGUGAGUAACGCGUGGGGAACCUGCCCUAUACAGGGGGAUAGCCUCGGGAAACCGGGAUUAAUACCCCCAUAAAAACUCUAGUAUCGCAUGAUACGUGAGUCAAAGCUGAGGCGGUAUAGGAUGGCCCCGCGUCUGAUUAGCUAGUUGGUGAGGUAACGGCUCACCAAGGCGACGAUCAGUAGCCGGCCUGAGAGGGUGGACGGCCACACUGGAACUGAGACACGGCCCAGACUCCUACGGGAGGCAGCAGUAGGGAAUUUUGCGCAAUGGGCGAAAGCCUGACGCAGCAACGCCGCGUGAGGGAUGACGGCCUUCGGGUUGUAAACCUCUGUUGAGUGGGAAAAAAGGGUAGCAAUACUUUGAUGGUACCAUUCGAGUAAGCACCGGCUAACUACGUG